CUAUGCAACCAAAAACUAUCCUGUUAGUUCCCAUAAGCUAUGUAGGGUCAGGCUGAGUCAGUACUUGUGUGGGAGACCUCCAAAGAAAAUGUAAAUGUUGCAGAGA
ensembl:rRNA 5S_rRNA 5S ribosomal RNA